CUUACACAUGCAAGUCGAACGGGUGUAGCAAUACAUUAGUGGCGGACGGGUGAGUAACGCGUGAGAAUCUGCCAACAGGACUGGGACAACAGUGGGAAACGCUGCUAACCCCGGAUGUCCGAGAGGGAAAAUAUUAUAGCCCUGUUGAUGAGCUCGCGUCUGAUUAGCUAGUUGGUGGGGGU
rnacentral:rRNA from 1 species